rnacentral:tRNA from 1 species
AAGUUUAAGUAAAAUAUUACUACUUUAAAAUUGCAUUCUAAUAUUAUUUUUUUUUAACUAUUAAACU